UACCAGCACCCCGAGUGGUCGGGACGAUUAUUGGGCCUAAAGCAUCCGUAGCCGGUUCUACAAGUCUUCCGUUAAAUCCACCUGCUUAACAGAUGGGCUGCGGAGGAUACUAUAGAGCUAGGAGGCGGGAGAGGCAAGCGGUACUUAGUGGGUAGGGGUAAAAUCCGUUGAUCCAUUGAAGACCACCAGUGGCGAAGGCGGCUUGCCAGAACGCACUCGACGGUGAGGGAUGAAGGCUGGGGGAGCAAACCGG
rnacentral:rRNA from 1 species